GGAUUCCCCCUAGUAACUGCGAGUGAAGCGGGAAGAGCUCAAAUUUAAAAUCUGGCGGUCUCUGAUCGUCCGAGUUGUAACCUGAAGGAGCGUUUUCCGCGCCGAACCGUGUACAAGUCUCCUGGAACGGAGCGUCAUAGAGGGUGAGAAUCCCGUCCAUGACACGGACGCUCGGUGCUUUGUGAUACGCUCCCGAAGAGUCGCGUUGUUUGGGAAUGCAGCGCAAAAUGGGUGGUAAAUUCCAUCUAAAGCUAAAUAUUGGCGAGAGACCGAUAGCGAACAAGUACCGUGAGGGAAAGAUGAAAAGCACUUUGGAAAGAGAGUUAAACAGUACGUGAAAUUGUUGAAAGGGAAACGCUUGAAGUCAGUCGCGUCUUGUGGAACUCAGCCUUGCUUCGGCCUGGUGUACUUUCCACUCGACGGGUCAACAUCAAUUUCGACCGGUGGACAAGGGCGAGGGGAAUGUAGCGUCGUUUCGACGACGUGUUAUAGCCCCUCGUCGCAUACACCGGCUGGGAUUGAGGACCGCAGCGCGCCCUUGUGGCCGAGGGUUCGCCCCAUGUACCGCGCUUAGGAUGUUGGCAUAAUGGCUUUAAGCGACCCGUCUUGAAACACGGACCAAGGAGUCUAACAUGCUUGCGAGUGUUCGGGUGGAAAACCCUUGCGCGUAAUGAAAGUGAAAGUUGGGAGCCUCCGCGAGGGGGUGCACCGACGCCCGGCCCUGACGUUCUCUGACGGUGCUGCGGUAGAGCAAGUAUGUUGGGACCCGAAAGAUGGUGAACUAUGCCUGAAUAGGGCGAAGCCAGAGGAAACUCUGGUGGAGGCUCGUAGCGAUUCUGACGUGCAAAUCGAUCGUCAAAUUUGGGUAUAGGGGGCGAAAG
rnacentral:rRNA from 1 species